AUUGAACGCUGGCGGCAGGCCUAACACAUGCAAGUCGAGCGGAUGAAGGGAGCUUGCUCCUGGAUUCAGCGGCGGACGGGUGAGUAAUGCCUAGGAAUCUGCCUGGUAGUGGGGGAUAACGUCCGGAAACGGGCGCUAAUACCGCAUACGUCCUGAGGGAGAAAGUGAGGGAUCUUCGGACCUCACGCUAUCAGAUGAGCCUAGGUCGGAUUAGCUAGUUGGUGGGGUAAAGGCCUACCAAGGCGACGAUCCGUAACUGGUCUGAGAGGAUGAUCAGUCACACUGGAACUGAGACACGGUCCAGACUCCUACGGGAGGCCGCAGUGGGGAAUAUUGGACAAUGGGCGAAAGCCUGAUCCAGCCAUGCCGCGUGUGUGAAGAAGGUCUUCGGAUUGUAAAGCACUUUAAGUUGGGAGGAAGGGCAGUAAGUUAAUACCUUGCUGUUUUGACGUUACCAACAGAAUAAGCACCGGCUAACUUCGUG
rnacentral:rRNA from 1 species